rnacentral:tRNA from 4 species
GCCGGGGUGGCUCAGCCUGGUAGAGCGUCGGACUCAUAAUCCGAAGGUCGCGGGUUCAAACCCCGCCCCCGGCACCA